CCAGGUUGACCUCGGAUCAGGUAGGGAUACCCGCU
rnacentral:rRNA from 1 species